UUAGUGAUUUUGGGAUAAAUUAAGUCAUGCAAGUUUCUGACAGAAGCCGAAAAGCGCGUGAGUCUCUUAAAUUGCAUAUCCCGAAUCUUAAUCGCAUUCUGAAAAAGCCGUAGUUUCGUUGGAAAGGGUCUCGUUUUUCCUACUUCAAAGGUUUCUUCUUCGUAUUUCUCGUAAAUUUCUCUCUCAACCUCCUCAAAGGAAAAAAGAAAAGGCAUAUAGUUAUAUGGAUAACAAAUCACCGAGCAAGGAGUCCAAGGAGGUGACACGAGAGUCGCUUAUUGCUAUUUCUAACUCUUUACCUGAUAAGACUCUGGAAUCAACUUCUGCCUUAGAGAGCAAGAAAUCAGACGGGGUUAUGAUACCAAACCGUGAUCAAGAUGACAAGUUUAGGUCUGAACUGAUUUCAAUUUCUUAUGCUGAAUCCCCUGAUGACAAAAUCUGAUCUGUUCACGUGUAACUCCUGGAUUAUUAUCGUUUGUUUGAACUUAUGUCAAUUUCUUAUAUGUUGUCUUAGCUAUCGUACAACUGUGUAAAUACUUUCACCGGCUACAUGCUUAGUUCAUGUGAGAUACUUGGAAGUUCCAAGUGUAGUACAUUUUCAUAUGUUAAAUAAACGUAGUAUUUUGGCCUGUUC